ACGGAAAAUACACAGAGGACACCAGGUCAGCCUGGGUCUACAGAACCCUUAAUAUGAGCAUACAGCUCACACAGAGGACACCAGGUCAGUCUGGGCCUACAGAACCCUUAAUAUGAGCAUACAGCUCACACAGAGGACACCAGGUCAGUCUGGGUCUACAUAACCCUUAAUAUGAGUAUACAGCUCACACAGAGGACACCAGGUCAGUCUGGGUCUACAGAACCCUUAAUAUGAGCAUACAGCUCACACAGAGGACACCAGGUCAGUCUGGGCCUACAGAACCCUUAAUAUGAGCAUACAGCUCACACAGAGGACACCAGGUCAGCCUGGGUCUACAGAACCCUUAAUAUGAGCAUACAGCUCACACAGAGGACACCAGGUCAGUCUGGGCCUACAGAACCCUUAAUAUGAGCAUACAGCUCACACAGAGGACAUCAGGUCAGUCUGGGCCUACAGAACCCGUAAUAUGAGCAUACAGCUCACACAGAGGACACCAGGUCAACCUGGGCCUACAGAACCCUUAAUAUGAGCAUACAGCUCACACAGAGGACACCAGGUCAGUCUGGGCCUACAGAACCCUUAAUAUGAGCAUACAGCUCACACAGAGGACACCAGGUCAGUCUGGGCCUACAGAACCCUUAAUAUGAGCAUAUAGCUCACGCAGAGGACACCAGGUCAGUCUGGGUCUACAGAACCCUUAAUAUGAGCAUACAGCUCACACAGAGGACACCAGCUCAACCUGGGCCUACAGAACCCUUAAUAUGAGCAUACAGCUCACACAGAGGACACCAGGCCAAUCUGGGCCUACAGAACCCUUAAUAUGAGCAUUCAGCUCACACAGAGGACACCAGGUCAGUCUGGGCCUACAGAACCCUUAAUAUGAGCAUACAGCUCACACAGAGGACACCAGGUCAGUCUGGGCCUACAGAACCCUUAAUAUGAGCAUUCAGCUCACACAGAGGACACCAGGUCAGUCUGGGUCUACAGAACCCUUAAUAUGAGCAUACAGCUCACACAGAGGACACCAGGUCAGUCUGGGUCUACAGAACCCUUAAUAUGAGCAUACAGCUCACACAGAGGACACCAGGUCAGUCUGGGUCUACAGAACCCUUAAUAUGAGCAUACAGCUCACACAGAGGACACCAGGUCAGUCUGGGUCUACAGAACCCUUAAUAUGAGCAUACAGCUCACACAGAGGACACCAGGUCAGUCUGGGUCUACAGAACCCUUAAUAUGAGCAUACAGCUCACACAGAGGACACCAGGUCAGUCUGGGUCUACAGAACCCUUAAUAUGAGCAUACAGCUCACACAGAGGACACCAGGCCAAUCUGGGCCUACAGAACCCUUAAUAUGAGCAUACAGCUCAAACAGAAGACACCAGGUCAGUCUGGGCCUACAGAACCCUUAAUAUGAGCAUACAGCUCACACAGAAGACACCAGGUCAGUCUGGGCCUAGAGAACCCUUAAUAUGAGCAUAUAGCUCAAACAGAAGACACCAGGCCAGUCUGGGCCUACAGAACCCUUAAUAUGAGCAUACAGCUCACACAGAAGACACCAGGUCAGUCUGGGCCUAGAGAACCCUUAAUAUGAGCAUAUAGCUCAAACAGAAGACACCAGGUCAGUCUGGGCCUAGAGAACCCUUAAUAUGAGCAUAUAGCUCAAACAGAAGACACCAGGUCAGUCUGGGCCUAGAGAACCCUUAAUAUGAGCAUAUAGCUCAAACAGAAGACACCAGGUCAGUCUGGGCCUAGAGAACCCUUAAUAUGAGCAUAUAGCUCAAACAGAAGACACCAGGUCAGUCUGGGCCUAGAGAACCCUUAAUAUGAGCAUAUAGCUCAAACAGAAGACACCAGGUCAGUCUGGGCCUAGAUAAGCCUUUAUAUGAGCUUACAGAGCAAACAUAUUUGUAUACAACUUGAUUGGAGUCCACCUGUGGUAAAUUCAAUUGAUUAAACAUGAUUUGGAAAGGCACACAUCUGUGUAUAUAAAGGUCCCAUCGUUGUCAGAGCAAAAACCAAGCCAUGAGGUUGAAGGAAUUGCCCGUAGAGCUCCGAGACAGGAUUGUGUCGAGGCGCAGAUCUAGGGAAGGGUACCCAAAAAUUUCAGCAGCAUGCCCUAGAACACAGUGGCCUCCAUCAUUCUUAAAUGGAAUAAGUUUGGAACCACAAAGACUCUUCCUAGAACUGGCCGCCCGGCCAAACUGAGAAAUCGGGAAGAACGGCAUUGGUCAGGGAGGUGACCAAGAACCCGAUGGUCACUCUGACAGAGCUCCAGAGUUCCUCUGUGGAGAUGGGAGAACCUUACAGAAGGACAACCAUCUGUGCAGCACUCCACCAAUCAGACCUUUAUGGUAGAGUGGCCAGACAGAAGCCACUCCUCAGUAAAAGGCACAUAACAGCCCGCUUGGAGUUUGCCAAAAGGCACCUAAAGUACUCAGACGAUGAGAAACAAGAUUAUCUGGUCUGAUGAAACCAAGAUUGAACUCUCUGGCCUGAAUGCCAAGCGUCACGUCUGGAGGAAACCUGGCACCAUUGCUACGAUGAAGUAUUGUGGUGGCAGCAUCAUGCUGUGGGCAUGUUUUUCAGCGGCAGGGACUGGGAGAC